rnacentral:lncRNA from 1 species
AAGGGGAGUGGAGGCCAGUGGGCGGGAGCCGGGGAACGAGCCUCUCCCCUUGGAGCCUCACCAGCACCCCAGGCACACAUUUGCUGCGCAUCGGGUGGGUGGAACCAGGGGGUUCCUCCCUGCCUUAGACCACGGUCCUGGGGGUCAGGCUUCCCGGGCAGGCCAGGGCCCCCCAGCGGAAGCACCAGCCUGGAAGGGACACCCUGGCUCUCCAAGGGAGGUCCAAGGAGGGCUGGGGAGGGGGACGUGGGAGGCAGGAGGGUGGGCCGAAUGGGGCUUACCUCCACACUGCCGGUGGAAGAUCGCAGCAUGCGACCCACCCAGGAGGAGCGGGCCAGCUGCAGGAGGCAGGACCUCUGGAACGCCUGCAGCUCAGUCUCCAGCUGGGACUUCUCCUGCUCCGGGAGGGUGCGUGGGUGGGGCAGGGCCUUCUCCCCACCCCCGGGGCCAACCCCUACCUGGCCCCUGAUCCUCACCCCAGCCUGGGUCCCCUGACCAACUCUUGAUCCCACCUGCCCCUCACCAGUUGGGCCUGUUCCUUCUGGCCUUUCAACUCCAGAGUCAGCUUCUGGACCUGGUUCUGCAGGAGCUUCUCCUGCCUGUGUGAGCAACUGGGGGAGGGGCCAUCUCAGCAGCCCCCACCUCGAGGUCAGUAGCCAAGGAAGGGAGGAGGAGGGGCUCGUCUUCACUGACAGUGGAGGCCUAAGGGCACAGAGUCCCACCGCGCCAGGCCAGGUCGGGUUCUGAGAGGUGCGGGUCAUAGGUCGAGUCUAGCUUCAGCGGCCGUCGACAUGUUUAGAGUCAGGGUCUGGGCAGGUUUACAGCAUAUUCACUCUUUCAGGGUUAGGUCGGGGGGUCAGAGUCAGGUAAGGAUAAGGGCUAGAGGCAAAAGUCAGGGUAAUUAUCAGGUGGGAGUGUUGGUCAGCCCCAGCGGUUGGGGAUGAGGGCAGACAAAAGCCAUUUCAGGCCAGGACAGAGGCUGGGUUGGGCCGAAGGACUGGCACUUUGCCGCUCACCUCUCGGGUGGCAGUCCAGCCACCUCGUACAGGAUGUGGCAGCGCCGGGCGUUCUGGCGGUUCUGGGUGGUCCACCGCAGAGCCUGGAUCUCCAGUUCCCGCUGACCCCACAGCAGCCGCAGGGUGCGGGGGUCCGAGGACUCAGGGGCCAACCUGCAAUGCCAGCACCCUUGCCACUUGAUCAGGCCCUGGCUCCAGCUGACCACCCCUCCCUCGCUUCCUUACUGCAGGUUGACGGGGAAGACCACGGGCGUGGAGCUGGGCUUGGUGUCCUUCGGGCACGCAGGAGCCACUGGGUCUUUGGGUGUGCCAGCUGGAGGCUCCGGGUGGUCGCUGACCGGCUCUUGGUCCGCCAGGGAUAAGGCAGCCUGUCUCUCAGCUUUUUCAGCCUCUUGGCAAGGCUCAGGGGCCAUUCUGGAUGUUCCUGGGGGAGCUGAGAUGGGUAGUGUGGCUGUCACCCUUGUGUCCCAUGGGUCGGUACCACGUGGGGCUCUUCUUUCACGGCCACAAGCGCGUGCCUGUGUCUGACAGCCCUAGACAGCAUCACUCCAAAAAUGCGCUUGUGUGUGUGCGCGCGUGCGUGUGCAUGCGCACGUGCGCGCCCCCAGGACACCAGAUUUCCGGCCACAUGUGUGUCUAUGUCUGUGUGGUUCUGACCAGGACAAGGCAGCAGAUAACUGUCCCCCACCCCCUUCCCCAAGCAACACGUCACCAGGGUGUUUGCACAUUUCCUGUCGUCUCUCUGUCACCCUUGCCCUCUACGACCUGAGGUCCUGCCCUCAGCCUAAGGCAAAGGUCCCCAGAGGUGUUAAUCCUUUGCCCGUGAUG